GACAGAGGGUGCAAACGUUGCUCGGAAUCACUGGGCGUAAAGGGCGCGUAGGCGGGAAUGUAAGUCGGGCGUGAAAUCCCUAGGCUCAACCUAGGAACUGCACUCGAAACUGCGUUUCUUGAGUAUCGGAGAGGAAAGCGGAAUUCCUGGUGUAGAGGUGAAAUUCGUAGAUAUCAGGAGGAACACCAGUGGCGAAGGCGGCUUUCUGGACGG
rnacentral:rRNA from 1 species